CUCCGUGCUCCCGGCUCCGCCGGAUGGGCAGCGCAGCGCGAGCGGCAGACUCCGCGUCCCGCUGUCGCCGUCCGAAGGCGCGAUUUGGGCUGAAAGCUGCCGAGCGCGGGGCGGUGGCUCCCGGCUUGUGAGGAACAGAAGCGUGCGUUAUCGUAUGACUUUGUGCUCGUGAGCUCUUCGACUUAAGCGCGUUUACCACCGAAGGAAUCCACUGAGAGCAGUGGUGUCAACCCUCCCACUUCUCCGUCUUUUGCCUCUCUCUUGUGUAGUAGUGAGGGGAAAGAAAACAGUGGGAGAGAGGAGGGUAUAGUGCUGUCGGCAGGGAAGCUUUGGCAAACGAUACAAGUUUGUUUUUCUCAGAUGCUUCUCAUAAAUAAACGGAUUAACACAAACAGUUGGUACAGAAACUACUUUAGUUGUGCAAUCAAACUUACUUCACUGCUUUAGAGAAUGAAGAUGGUAAAUGAUUUUCAUGAACCCUUUAGCAAAUUUUUAAACUUUGUCCUUUGUUUAUUAAGCCCCGUGAAGUGCACGUGUCCCAUUCUGCAGUCUUUCCCAUGCUCUCCCUCCUCCUAGGAUGCAGUGUGGUGCCUGAUGUGGAGCCUGAGUCCCCAGCUCAGGUGUAAAGGAGAACCAGAAAUGUCACCCUAGCAGUUUUGAGGCGUCAUCAACCACCUGGGUUUGCUGCUCUGAAACAAGGCACUCUGCAGCCACCAAGACCACCUCAGUUUCCCCUCCAUCUAGGCUAGCUCCAGAUCUUCAUCAGCUGGGCUGAAAACUACAGCAAUUCAGGAGCACUUGGCAUAUGCCAAGAGAGAGAGGUAAUGGCCUCAAGUUGCACAAAGAGAGGUUCAGAUUGAAUAUUCAGAAAAAUUUCUUCUCGGGAAGAGUGCUGAGGCAUUGGCACAGGUUGCCCAGGGAGAUGCUGGAGUCACUUUUCCUGAAGGUGUUGAAGAAACGUGGCACUGAGGGACAUGAUUUAGUAUGCAUGGUGGUGAUGGGUUGGUAGUUGGCCUAGAUCAUUUUAGUGAUCUUUUCCAACCAUAAUGAUUCUAUGAUUCUACACAGGAGCAUUCCUUCGAGGGGGGGGAAGAGGUUACACGAAAUGCAUUCCCUUCCCUCCAACAGGCAGAAGACAGAGACCUCAGCCCUCAUGAGCAGCCUCACCCAGGCUGCCCAGAGCUGGGAGCUGUCUGGCAGAACAACUUGGAUUCCAUGAGGUGCCACAUGCCACCCUUUUCCACCAAUCCUGGCAGUGGGAGGUUCUGUUUAAAAUCCAGCUUUGGAUGUGGUGAACUAUAGUUGAAUUUGGCCUUAGUGCACGGACAUGUUUGGAUAAAAUGUACCAACUCUUGUUGAGACUCACUGCUUGAGCAAUGCACAGGUUUCAUGCUUCUUUUCUGAUUUGCUUGGAAUUCUGCUCAGAAGAUUUUCCCAAACAGAAGAAAAUUCAAAAAUCGUAUUCAUUUUGGGAAACUUUGGAGGACACAAAGCUGUCCAACAGGUUAUUUUCUUUGGAGAAAAUAUAUGUUCUCUGUGGUCACUUCAAACGUACAUCAGACCAGAGAUCAUUCAAAUGAUCUUUUAAUGCUUCUAAAUGAAGAUAUAAUAUGACAGCUAAGAAACUCAAACGGGAAAGAAAUCCAUUUUUCUCCCAAAGGCUGACACACAGCUGAGACUGAUUUUUCUAAGGUUUCCUCUGAACUUGUCUGAACUAUUUUUUCAGACUGAAGAGUAGAACAACAGUAAUAGGAAUGAAGUGACAUUAAUAAUGUAACAUCAGUUCUUUUCUUCUUUCCCCUUUGCCUCAAUAUGCAAAGUCUGAUAGUUGCUGAAAUAUAUUCAAUCCUGAGGGACAAAAUGAGGACCUACAAAAAAAGCAAGGAUGGUAAGUUUGGAGUCAGAUUAUUUCCUGUCUCCUCAGAAGACAGAACAGCUGCUGUAAAAACAAGACCGUGAGGAGACACAGCAGUGUUGCUGCCAGAUAAGGAUAGCAUGGCUGUUCAUUCCCUUCUCACUCACGCAGGACAGGGCCAUCAUUAUCUAGUUUAAAGCAAACAUGACAGACACUGCUAUUAUCACAUCAGCAGAUUGUUCAGUUAUUAUUGUUUGUAUUGCAGGAGUGCCUGGAGGCCCAGGCUGUGUUGCAACACUUAUUUGCUAUGUGCGGGACAUACUUUCAGGAGACCGUUCCCAUCUGGAACAGCUUCUUCUGCACACACUAAGUACCAGUAAGUAAAAAGGGACUAAUUACACUGUACCAGAGCAAAGGAAAUGCAGUUUACCCAAAGUUGUAACUGAGAAACUCUUCUAUAGAGCUGUAUGGACAGCAUCAUUCUCAAGCCACGUGGAGAGACAGCAAAAUUAAUCAGCUGAUGUUUUUGCAUGUAGAAAGAAAAGAUUGCAUAUGCCUGAAACAACCUGCACUAAACAUGGUGAUACAAGUGGCAAUUCCACUUCUUCAGAAGGCAGCCUGAUAAUGGGAGACUUAAGAAUUUUUGUACAUGUCUUUGCUAAUGAUCCCUUUAAUUACUAGCUAUAAAUCAUAUGGUAUGAAAACAUCACCAUUCUCAUUUCAAGAAGAAAGAUUUUGUAAUGCUUUUUCUCUGUGUAAUACAUAUGGAUUUAGGGCUCUGUGGAUUAAAUUUGGCAAUUUCAGGCAUGCAAGGUUACUAAUCCGUACUUUGUCUACAUAAAAUCAAAAGAAGAAGCAAGGCAGCCUUGUGCCCUGGGGAUGGCUGGGGAAUUCCACACAUGCCUGUCUUCUGUAACUCUUGUCAAGGGUGAAAACAUUAAUGUCAGUGUUGCAAUAGUUACAGGCAGACCAAAGGGGCACACUUCAAGCAAAGCAAACGUGGUUUCAUUAAGUAUUUCUCUGUUUUCACUUCACAGUUAUUUUUUUGACACCUCUGUUCUCCCAGUUUCCUGAUGUUUUAAAGUAUGUAUUUGUCACAUUUAAUUCUGUUUUCCUGUAGUAGCUUCAUCCGCAGAGACUUCUCUUGGAGAACGGCCCAGAGAUUUUUCUGUUUCUUCUUACAUUUCUAUUUUCUCUGCAUCUGCUGUUACAUCAUCUAUAUGGGUUAUAUACACAUAAUUUUAGUUUUUAUGUCAAACUUUUAAUGCCACAAUCAGGCUGUCAAAAUGACUAAGUCCUGAGGAAUUUAUUUAGGCAAAAUUUGCACAGAAUUGUCUGUGAUUUCUUUAAUAAGUUGAAUGCUGCAAUAUUUCUGGUAGGUAUGCCAAAAUAAUAUAGGUAUAAGAAUAGAGCAUUAGUAAAAAUCAUUUCAGGAGACAGUAAAGUAAAUCACAUUGUGCAGCUUUAACAAGGUCAAUGAUGAACUGGAAGGAAGCAAGGAAUCUUGAUUUUGGCUUCAGUUUUCAAUUCUUGACCACGCUUCUUUGCUGUGUAAUUACACUAUUUACUGUUAAAUUUUAUUUAAUAUUGAACUGAGUAAAUUCUAUAAUUACUGAAUUUAAUAAAUUAUGUAACUAUUCUCCUGCAUCUCAUUAAUAGA